rnacentral:rRNA from 1 species
GACGUAGGGCGCGAGCGUUGUCCGGAUUUAUUGGGCGUAAAGAGCUCGUAGGCGGCUUGUCGCGUCGUCCGUGAAAACCUGCAGCUCAACUGCAGGCUUGCGGUCGAUACGGGCAGACUAGAGGUAGGUAGGGGAGAAUGGAAUUCCCGGUGUAGCGGUGAAAUGCGCAGAUAUCGGGAGGAACACCGGUGGCGAAGGCGGUUCUCUGGGCCUUACCUGACGCUGAGGAGCGAAAGCGUGGGGAGCGAACAGG